UCGUGCUAGGUGGGGAACUAGCGGUGCCCUGUACCCGCAAUCCGCUCUAGCGGGACGGAAGUCCCUCUCGAGGCCCGACCCUGUAGGACUGCUCGAGUAAGUGGUGAUGAAGGCCGGGUCCCGCGCGGCGCGGACCCGCGAACCGGGUCAGGUCCGGAAGGAAGCAGCCCUAAGUGGUUUCCCGUGGGUGACGCGGGGACGCCCUGCCGGAGCUAACUACUUGUAGCAAGCUGGAGGAUCGCGGUCGGAAGAGGGUGCACGG
rnacentral:SRP_RNA from 1 species